AAAGUCAACAGUGGUAUUCAUCAAAGAUGGGACCUUGGGGACAGGGACAACAUUUUGUACAUGACAUCUCAUGGGAAGAACUUUGCGCGUUUUUAUUUUCUUUGGGUGAAAAGAACAGUAGAGGAAGAGUAUAAGUGAUAAGCUUUCUGAUUAAUUACUUCAAUUCCUUCUCAGUAUCCUAAGGCUACACUGGUUAUCUGCCUGUGGUGGAGGUGUUGUAGAGAAGAAGACAUAUAAGCAAGGACCCUGGAGCUCUCCCACAUGCAUUCUCCUUGAAAUUUGUGGUUUAAGAAGGAAUCGAGUCUACUUUGUAGAAAAUCCUGCUGCAUAUUAUAGGAACAUGAGAUGGCUCUUCACAUCGUGAUUGCUGGUCUCAGGUGGCAUUUUCCCAGUUAAAUCUGCCUGGAAAGUUCUGCAGAGUUGCCUAGAAUUGUGUCUCCUAGGUAAUUCUAAAUCCAGUCUAAUUGAAAAUGAAGAUGAACAAUCACUGUACACCCAUACUUAUAUGUCCAUACCAAUAAACACUUAUCCUUGAAAGGCA